AUUGACCGCUGGCGGCAUGCCUAACACAUGCAAGUCGAGCGAGCGGCGGACGGGUGAGUCAUGACUGGGAAUUGCCCAGUCGUGGGGGAUAACAGUUGGAAACGACUGCUAAUACCGCAUACGAUCGUUUGGCCAAGGUGGGAUUAGCUUUUUGGGGGGGUAAUGUCUCACCAAGGCGACGAUCCAAAGCUGGUCUGAGAGGAUGAUCAGCCACACUGGAACUGAGACACGGUCCAGACUCCUACGGGAGGCAGCAGUAGGGAAUAUUGCGCAAUGGGGGAAACCCUGAUGCAGCCAUGCCGCGUGUGUGAAGAAGGCCUUCGGGUUGUAAAGCGCUUUCAGCGAGGAGGCGUUACUCGCAGAAGAAGCACCGGCUAACUCCGUGCCAGCCGCCGCGGUAAUAC
rnacentral:rRNA from 1 species